rnacentral:misc_RNA from 1 species
GGCUGGAUCACCUCCUUUUAAAGGAACAUUUCCAGUUAAGAUUUAUCUUCUGGAAAAGGUCACACUAUAUGGUUUUUUCUCACUUGAUAAUUUGGGAUAGUAGCUCAGUUGGUUAGAGUACGUCCCUGAUAAGGACGGGGUCGGAGGUUCGAAUCCUCCCUGUCCCACCAAAUUUUUUAAAAAUGACAUAACAGGAUCAGUUAGAAGACGAGAACCCAUACUAAAUUAGAAAAGAUUUUUUUUUAGAAUUCAAUUUUCAAAUAAAAUUUAAGCUAUUAAGGGUGUAUGGUGAAUAUCUAGGCAGUAAGAGGCGACGAAGGACGUUUGUUAGACAGCGAUAUGCCACGAAGAGCAGUCCAGCAUGCAAUGACUCGUGGAUUUCCGAAUGGGGAAACCUACCGAUUAGAAAUAAUCGGACACUACGUAGUGAGUAAAGUAGCUACGAGAGAGCAAACUCAGGGAACUGAAACAUCUAAGUACCUGAAGGAAAAGUAAUCAAUUGAGAUUUUGCUAGUAGCGGCGAGCGAACGCAAAAGAGCCCAAACCGAAUAACUUGUUAUUCGGGGUUGUAGGACCUGCAUUUAAUAAUUUUUUGUUAGAAGAACUACCUGGGAAGGUAGACCAAAGAGGGUGAAAGUCCCGUAUUUUAAAGCAUGAAAUUAUGAGCGGGUAUCCUGAGUAGGACGGGACACGAGAAAUCCUGUUUGAAUCUGGGAGGACCAUCUUCCAAGGCAAAAUACUACUUACUGACCGAUAGUGAACAAGUACCGUGAGGGAAAGAUGAAAAGAACCCCGAUGAGGGGAGUGAAAUAGAAUUUGAAACCAUACACUUACAAACAGUGAGAGAGCUAUUGUAAAGCUUGAUCACGUACCUCUUGCAUUAUGAUUCAGCGAGUUACGAUAUCUGGCAAGGUUAAGCCGUUGCAGGUGAAGCCGUAGGGAAACCAAGUCUUAAUAGGGCGCAAGUCUGAUGUCGUAGACCCGAAACGGGAUGAGCUACCCAUAAGCAGGUUGAAGCGAGGGUAAAACCUCGUGGAGGACCGAACCCAUGGAAGUUGAAAAUUCCUGGGAUGACUCGUGGGUAGGGGUGAAAGGCCAAUCAAAUUCCGUGAUAGCUGGUUCUCUCCGAAAUGCAUUUAGGUGCAGCCUAAGACGAAUGCUGUCGGGGGUAUAGCACUGACUUGGCUAGGGGUCUUACCAGACUACCAAACCAUAUCAAACUCAGAAUACCGACAAGCACUAUCUUGGAGUGAGACUGUGAAUGCUAAGGUUCAUGGUCAAAAGGGAAAGAGCCCAGAUCAUCAGUUAAGGUCCCAAAGUCAUGACUAAGUGGGAAAGGUUGUGUAUUUACUUUGACAUCCAGGAGGUUGGCUUAGAAGCAGCCAUCCUUUAAAGAAAGCGUAAUAGCUCACUGGACUAGUGAAUGUGCGCCCAAAAUGUAACGGGGCUAAAGUCAUGCACCGAAACUAUGAAUUUAGGCUUCGGCCUAAGAGUGGUAGGAGAGCAUUGUGUAUGCCGAUGAAGCUGUACCGGUAAGGAGCAGUGGAGGUACCACAAGAGCUAAUGCUGAAAUGAGUAGCGAUAAGGAAAGUGAGAAUCUUUCCCGCCGAAAAUCCAAGGGUUCCUGGGCCAGGUGACUCCGCCCAGGGUUAGUCGGAUUCUAAGGUGAGGCCGAAAGGCGUAACCGAUGACCAACAGGUUAAUAUUCCUGUACUUGGUAAAGAUCGUUUGACGUGAUGGAAUGACGGAGAAAGGUAGUAGGGCCUCCUGAUGGAUGGAGGUUUAAGCGAGUAGGUGGGCGAGCCAGGAAAAUCCGGUUUGCUAUUAAACACUGAGACGUGAUGACGAGUGCUUGCACGAAGUCUACGAUCCUAUGCUUCCAAGAAAAGUUUCGCACGGAGAGUUUAUCAAUCCGUACCGUAAACCGACACAGGUGGAUGAGAAGAGAAUUCUAAGGCGAUUGGGAAAACUCUAGUUAAGGAACUCUGCAAAUUGGUGCCGUAACUUCGGGAGAAGGCACGCCCUUUGAUGUGAUGAAAUUUACUUUUUGAGCAUUAGAGGGCCGCAGUGAAAAGGGGGUAGCGACUGUUUAUCAAAAACACAGGUCUAUGCAAACACGAGAGUGGAAGUAUAUGGGCUGACGCCUGCCCGGUGCUGGAAGGUUAAAAGGAGAGGUUAGCGCAAGCGAAGCUUUGAAUUGAAGCCCCAGUAAACGGCGGCCGUAACUAUAACGGUCCUAAGGUAGCGAAAUUCCUAGUCGGGUAAGUUCCGACCUGCACGAAUGGCGUAACGACUUCCCCACUGUCUCAACUAGCGACCCAGCGAAAUUGGAGUGCGCGUGCAGAUACGCGCUACCCGCGGUAGGACGAAAAGACCCCAUGAACCUUUACUGUAACUUGGCAUUGGGCUUUGGAGCAGAUUGCGUAGGAUAGGUGGGAGCUGUUGAUCCGUGCAUUCCGGUGUACGAGGAGGUGCCCUUGAAAUACCACCCUAUAUGCUUCGAAUUCCUAACUUACGGCCGUAAACCGGUCGGAGGACAAUGUCUGGUGGGCAGUUUGACUGGGGCGGUCGCCUCCAAAAGAGUAACGGAGGCGCG